rnacentral:lncRNA from 1 species
GCAGAAGAGAGUAAGAAGGAAAGAUUUUCUAGCCUCCUGAUAAAAGCACUCAGCAGGAUGAAGGGAGAGAGUGUAUUUGCUCUGGAUCCUUUGAAAGAAGAGAGGCAGUUGCUUUUCACCUCCCAGUGCUUGCUUCGGAUCUGGAAAUCCUACUUGUGUGUAGGUCCACAGCCACGUCCGUCUGUACCAAGUCAACGCGCUAAAGGGAAGGAUGGAGUGUGCCUGUCUCAAAAUACCCCACGGAAUUGCAGCUCAAAACAAAACGUUGAAAACAUGGCAUUGCCUGCAGAAUGGAAAUACAAAAUUUCACUUCAGAGAAGAACGAAAUGUAGGUUUUUGAGAAUUUUCCAAGGAGCUGCCCUCGAUUCCCGCAAGGCAGGC